CAAAUUUACUCACAUAGUUCUGUAAACUCCCUCCGCUCAAAGGAAGUGAGUGCAGAGCGACUUCCUGCACGGACAGGAAACAGGAAGUGGUGGGGGUUGGAAGAAGCGAAAAGGCAAGCGGAACGCCCUCGUGACAACAUGGAGUCCAGGCAGAGUUCAGACGUGUGAUGCUGAGUUGACACUGCGUGGAUUUAUGUAACAAAUAUUUCACGUUAGUGACAAACGAUGAAAGUGGAAUGAAGAAAACUUCAAGGCAGGAAAAACAAACACGAAAAAGAUGGCUGUCCAAGCUACACCCCUGUGGAACUUCUCGCCAAUCUUCUGGGACAUUUUGUUCCCACCGUACGGGUUACAAAGCAGCCCCACGACACGCAAAUCCGUGACGAAUUCAUCGAGUGGAUGUUGCACUCUUUGAACAUCUUUUACGACACCGCACUGCUUUUUAUGUUCCCUGGAGGAACUUCUCCCAGCUGAUUUCGAUUGAAAGGCGUUCUGCACCCUGGACUGGAUGGGGCAUAAAGAGACAGAUUCUGAGUAGAACUCGACCCGCGCUGCCAGCGCUGAACUUGGACAAAUGCACCACUACCAUCAGCAACUAAUGACAAACAUUUUAAAACCGAAAAACUGAAAAAAGCACAUGCAAAUUGUAACCUCCAGAGGCAUUUGAACAGUUUCUUCAAAUGGAUUCAAAGCAAUAAAUUAUGCCAUUGUUAUUGUAUUUAUAUCGUAACAAUUUACACUGUUCAAACGGUUACUGUCACACUUGUCAGCACUCUUUGAGUUCUAAGUGGACAAAAGAUGGAUCUCAAUUUUUCCAAAUGAGAAACGAUUUCAGGCGUUUUGCUUUAAAUGUAAGUGAACCUGUUCCUGUUUGCAUCUUUUUUUCAUUUUUUUCCCCUUACUGUCCCAAAUAUGAACCAAACCAUAAACCCAAAUUCAAGAUACAUACCGGACAGUCAUUAUUUGCCUACCAUUACAGCCCAAGUUACGAUCCAUUUAUGUUUUUGUUUUCACAGAUAUAACAACCAUAACUUUGAUCUAACCAUAAUCUUAACAGUAACUUGCAAUAAAAAACAAGGUGACACUGAUGGACUAGUGAGUGAAAAGGCACUAAUAAACAAUAUUGAGUAAGCCUGUCCAGAUGAUAAUAUUGAUCAUGGUAUGGCUGAUGUGGUAUGUUAAAUGAGGGAAAGGGACAUCUUGAGCACAUAAACCUCCUUCACAUCAAUCAUGCU